UCAUUAUGCUAUCUUCAUCAAAGUACUUUUUACUUCUUUCGAUCCUCAAAAUCUCAAACACCUUCUAAACGACGCCGUUUUGCACCAACUACUGCCAAAAAUUUCCCUAAACCCUAGCUCAGAAUUCCCUUUCGCACUUCCAAGAAAAGGGAGCUUUUUCACACUCACCAUGUCCUCCGAAGACAUAGGUCUCGUACCAGACCAGAGGAUCGAAACUGGUCUCAGCUCCUCACUCGUUUUUCAAGACGAAACCUUGCGCUUCAGCUGCGGGGGCCCGCAGCGUCGGGUCGGGGACCCGGGCCCGAAAACCCGGGAUCUUGGUGGGUUCAUCGAUGACAAGAUGUUCUCCAUGGAGCGCGACCGGUACUUCGCCGCACAGGGCUCUGAGUUCCGCCGGAGCGUCUACGGCGACUGCUCCAGCCGCCGUGAUCCGCCGGGAGCACGCAAUUGGAGUAGGAAUGGUGGCGCCAACACUCCAAGCGGCGACGAAUCCGACGGGGAUGAUGACGAAGAUGAUGACGAGGAUGACGAUGACGACGAUGAUGUCGAAGGUGAUGAAGGGCUUGUUGGUGUUGGUGAUGGAAGCAAGCGCAAUUCGAAUCCAAUUCUUGACAUUAACGGUAGCAACGGUAGCAACGGUGGUGGCGGUGGUAGUUUGGGUGGUGUUAGUGCUGCAGAGCGGAUGGCAAAUGGGAAAGGACAGCAUCAUUCGUCUUAUGUUUCUACUAGAGAAAUGCUGGGGAAGGAUGGUGAUAUGGGGCAGCUGGUGCAUAACAAUGCGAGUGGUACUGAUGAAGAUCAUCAUCAGAGAGAGAGAUUGGGUAAAUCACAGAGUGCUGUAACCAUUGCUGAAACUGAUUGUGAUGAGUACUAUUCACAUUAUCUUCAUGGCACGGAAGGAUCGGGUUCUGUGCAGAAAGUUAUGGUGGAUGAGAAUGGUUGUGGGUUUAGUGGAAGAAAGGAGGUUCUGUUUUCAAGCGAGUCGGGGGAGUCGUUGAGGGCAAUUCUUUCUGAUCCUGUUACAGGUGCACUUAUGGACGAUGCCAUGAUAUUACCUUGUGGGCAUUCAUUUGGUGGAGGUGGAAUACAGCAUGUUAUUAGAAUGAAAGCUUGCUGCACCUGUUCUCAACCCACAUCCGAGGAAUCAAUAUCUCAAAACCUAUCACUUCGAGCUGCUGUGCAGGCAUAUCGGCGUGAAGAGGAGUCACAAUUUUACCGGUCAUCUAAAAGACGAAGAGAGAGAUUUGAUCAGGACAGGGUGGUUUUGGAGAUUCAGCUGUUGUAGAACCACCAAGGGGGAGAGGUGUUCAAUUUCCUUUUGCUGUGAUGGACCGUGUUAUCAUAAAGGGAAACAAGAGGACACCGCAACGCUUUGUUGGGCGUGAAGCUAUUGUAACAACACAAUGCCUUAAUGGAUGGUAUGUGGUGAAGACACUGGACAAUGCAGAGAGUGUGAAAUUACAGUAUCGGUCCCUUGCUAAGGUUUUGGAUGAUUCUUCAAAACCUUCCUCCACCAAGAUGCCACCUAAUUGGCGUUAGUUCUGAGCCAUCAAAUGUAGCUGAUCAUAUUUCUAUACCAACAUGAUUGUGCUUUCGAAAUCCCAGUGUUAGUGUUCCUUGUUGCAAUAAAACCGUGGUAGCAACAGAUGGUGUAAAUAUAGAAAGCCUUGUGCUUUGUGUUCCUUAAUAUUUAUGAUUGUAUUUAAUGUAAUCAUUUUGUUAUACAUAGAUAAUAUUAGAUACACUAACAGAUUUAUAGUAAAAAAUGAAGAUGAUUAUUUGGUUUCAGUUUACGAGCUACGGGCAUUGCAU